GGUUUGUACAUUAAUUCAUCUAUUUAAUGUAUUUAUUUAUGCCAUAACAGUAUGUGUCUAUUCAUGUGUUACAAUAUGACUUUCCAUUGACCUUGUAAGAUGCUGCUGAUCUUCAAAGAAAAUGUUUAUAUGCAUGAAACUGUAGAGAGUCCAUGGGACUUAGUUUUUUAAAGAGGAACAAUGUCUAGUAUCAGCCGUAACUUCAAACAAAUGACAAAUGCAGAUAUAUUUGUUUCAUAGCAAUAAUAACUUCACUGGUACAGCAAUUGACAUGUAUAAUAAUAAUCAAAGCUGUCCUGUUUGCAGUCGAUUUAGGGCAAUAAAAUGAAACAGAUUAACAGGAAUCCUUUAGAAAUCCUCCAUCUUGUUGUUCCCCAAACCAGUCCACUCAGCUGCCUGCCUCCACGUACAGGCUAAAGAUUGACCCUUACAGGCCCCUGAACAUGACUUAUGAUAAAAAUGUCAUGCAAUAUCGUCCAAAGAUAGCCAAACGUACUACUAUGCUUCAUAAGAAAUGCCAUGAAAUCAAACGUUUUCCACACAUAACAUGAAAGUCUUCCUUUAUCAACCCACAUUUUUAAAUAGACCCACAUUCUUUUCUACCAGCUUUCCCUUCUACAUUUCACAAAGCUUUAUUCUAGAAUCCUGACAGGUUGAGUUAUUUAGAAGCAAGGCCGAGAAGCUGCAGUCAUCAUGCCAGUAGAGAAAAUGACAAUGGGAAAGCUUCUUUCCCUGGUGGAUUAGCCAGGCGAUAAUAAUAGGCAAUGCAGUAAUUAUAAAACAGUGUUGACACAAAUUGCUCUACAGAUUACCCUGCUGGAGCUUUGCUGCACUCCACUAAAGCCCUGGAAAUGGACAAAAAAAGUUUGUAAUCGAGCGAUUGGCAAGUGUAUCUGUGAGACAAUAGUUUUACCCCUGAAAGCACAGACCCUCCAGGGCUUUGGAUACGCUUCUGUAGCCUGGAUUAGCAGGGGAAUAUGCACUGAAAACACCCCGUGAAGCUGAGCAGACCUUUUAUUGUUGCCCAAAAUCUGCCACAGUAAUAAACAGUACUGAGUGUCAACGCGUCCCAGAACAUGUUCACUUUGUUGGGGAAAUCUAAAAAGAACAGUGUUCGUAGGGUAAGACAACAACACAGUUAGAACUAUGAAACAGAUUUAACAAUAAAAAAUGUUUUACAAUAAAACCGAUGUCCAUCCAGCAAUUUACAAAAUAUGGUGAUAGACACAUUCCUUUGUUCAUGUCUGAUAGCCACCUAAAUCCCUGCUCGACACAGACUGCUGUUACUGUAAUAAGAUAAUAAUACACUCUCUCACUCCCACCUCCAUCAAAACCUCUCUCCUCUCUAACCGGCAAUGAUGAGACGGUGGUUUGGUGGCGUGUGAGACUGGAGUGCUAGACCAGGAUUGGUAGAGGGCUGUGGCGUGUGGGAGGAUAACAGGUGUUUGCAGACAGACUGCAGAUAGGGAGAGUAAUUGAGUUGGUGAGCGACCUCCAAGGGGAAGGUCAAGCACCAGCAGGCAAAUGCACUGUCAGCUAUUUGCAUAUUCUAAAUGGAUGACACAAUCCCAGUAGUGGUGAGCUCUCCUUUAUUAAACCUGCCGGGAAUAUCGUACUAGUCUUCCUUUUAUCACUAUAUCCUCCUCUGUAUUACACCACUACCCCUCGAUAUGAACUGCUGGCUGCCAUCCUACAAAUGUAGGAUCUCGGAACAUGAUAGGGUUGGGGACAGCACUGCAGGUGUCGUGGUCUGGCUUCAGUUUGUUUACAGGUACUUCAUUUGUAGAAUAUUUCUUUAUUUCAUUUUUUUGUACUUAUUCUCCUUCGAGGUGUUAGUGUUUUCCAUGAGCAAUAUCACAACCAAACUGCGCUGUAUAUCCUAUAUGGUUGAAAAACACAUUUAUAGUGUCCCAAAAUUGAAUAAAAAAAAUAAAAUACUGAGCAAAUUGGUUUUGAAGCGGUUGUUUGUUUUCAAGAAUGGAAAACAUUGUUCCUCUUUGACGAUUUUGUAAAUAUAUUUAUAUAUCACAGCAAUAAUAUGAAAAUGCAUGUGGACAACAUGUUUCCUCUGUUAGUUCAUGUUGUCUUUUGAGAAGAAGACAAAUACAGGUACCAACAGCAGUGUGGGUGGGAAUGUGAAUCAGGGAGUCUUAAUUAAAAUCUAUCUGUCGUAAGUCACCAACAACACUUCACUUCUCUGUGUGUUCUGACUAGUCCAUGUUCUUAUUCCUACCCAGUACCCCACCCUUUUAUUUAUAUGCCUGGCCUGGCUGCACCAUGUUUAAAAGUUUUAAAAGAUUUCCAUAACAAAAGCCUUCAACAUAUGGCUGACUGCUUGGAACCUUCCAUAUGGCCCUCAAAACACUGAUUAAGAUUUUUCACUUUAUUCCUCACACUCUGUCAUUCUCAAUUUUCUCUGUCUUUACUAUUUUCCAAUGAAGUGUUAAGAAAAUUAAGCCAUGGUUUAUGAGGGGUGUUUUGGUUUAUUGGAUUCUUCUGCUACAAUUACUAAUGAUGACAACAAUAAUGCUGAUAAAGAUAAUAAAACAAUAGCACAAACAAUCAUCAGGUCCGUUUUUAUUUACCUUGAUAUAAUUGAAUUGUUUAUUUUAUUAUCUUUAUAUUAUAUUGCCCCUUCAGCAAUCAGAC
ensembl:lncRNA